rfam:Pteropus alecto contig105754, whole genome shotgun sequence.
GGUUCCAUAGUAUAGUGGUUAGUACAUCUGCUUUAUAUGCAGAAGGUCCUUGGUUCAUGCCCCAGUGGUGCCA